GAAAAAUUCCUUUACGCCCCUUUAGCGGGGGUGUAUAGCGAAAAAAGGAGGUGUGACAGGAGUGAUAAAGCAGGAUGGGUGAUGCCGUGUAACCAUUGAUUAAAGCACGAUGGGUAAUGCCGUGUAACUAUUGACUUCCUCCAUAAUAUAGAGUGGGUGAGAAAGAGUGAUAAAGCACAAUGGGUGAUGCCGUACAUUUUAAUUGAUUAUCUUAGUGAGGUCGAGAGUAAAAGCACAAUGUGUGGUGCCGUGCAACAUUUGAUUUAUUGUUUCCUCUUAUCGAUGUUAAUUAUACCGUUUCCAUUUCUUUGUUGUUAUUGAUUAGAUAAUUGAACUGUUAUACCCCACAGCAUGCUCCCUCUCUCUUAAUUGUUUAAUUUCCCGUUUUCUCUUCUAUUGC
rnacentral:lncRNA from 1 species